rnacentral:rRNA from 1 species
UACGGGGGGGGCAAGCGUUGUUCGGAAUUACUGGGCGUAAAGGGCUCGUAGGUGGCCAACUAAGUCACACGUGAAAUCCCUCGGCUUAACCGGGGAACUGCGUGUGAUACUGGAUGGCUUGAGUUUGGGAGAGGGAUGCGGAAUUCCAGGUGUAGCGGUGAAAUGCGUAGAUAUCUGGAGGAACACCUGCGGCGAAGGCGGGUAGCUGGGCCAACACUGACGCUGAUGCGCGAAAGCUAGGGGAGCAAACGGG